CCUAUUCUGUUGCUCGACGUGUUGCACGUGACCCAGCAGAGCCGGUUCGAUAACCCUGCGUAACCACGUGAUACUUACGGAAUCUGACAGAUGUCCAUGGAGAAAUUUUGGCCGUUGAUUUGCCAACAACCGCCUUAGUUCGUCUCCACGUGGUGAUAUAAUAACCGUUGAUCUUCAGCUCCCAACACUAGGGUUUCAGUAUAUUUAUGCUCCCUCUCUCAUCGUCCGCAUGUCUCCCAGCCUUUCCUUUCCUUUCCUUCUCUUAUCUACUUUCCAACAUAUAUAUUUUUCUAGUUCUUGUUCUUUCUGUCAGAGAGGUUUCCAUCCGUCAGAUCGAUUUUUCGCGGCAGAUCAACCGAAUUUAGGAGAAAUACCGACUGCUCUUGCUGAUUCGUGGAGUUGGCCUGCUGAUCUACAAUUUGACUGAUUUUGCCGAUUUUCUUUUGUUUUCUUUUGUUUUCUUUUUCUGUGUCGCUUUUCUCUUGCAGGAAACUCCUCGUUCUCGGAUCAUCAGGAUUUGAAGCGAUUUGAAAAGGACGAAGACGAUUUUUUUUUUAACAGGUUGGAUCUGCGCGCCUGAUGGAAAGAUUCUUCUCUUUAUCUAUCUAAGUUGUGUUUGUUGCCAGAUCUUUACACAACCCUUGCGAUCGGUAUUGUAGAAUUGUGGUUAAUGGCUGUAAAUCAAAGGGUAGUGUGAUCGAGAUGGAGUUGUAAGAGAUGGAUCUUAGGAAAGUUAGCUAGUGAUGAAUUUGUUACCAGACCUUUGCCAUGACAGGUGCGCUUGUAUGGCAGGUCAAAAACCCUAAUAAAAUCCCUUUUUUUGGUUUUUAGGGGAGAUGGCAUGGGGCUCUUUUGCCCCGGCAUCUUCCCUACGGUGUCGCUGCUUCUUUCUUUUUAUUUUCAUCUUGAAUUCUCUCAAUUCCGACAUGACGAGUACACCCAUACAGCAACCAACAUCUUCAAUUAGGCAGACGAACUGCAAAGGCGAAUUAAUCACUCUCUACUGCCAUUGAUACGGAUUGUUUUCUAUGAAAUGAGAUUGGGUUAACUUUGUAGAUGAGUAUGUCAUACUUCUGGGAUCUUUUGCUGCAAACUUCUCUGGAAAGUAUAAAUCAGCUAUUGUGUCUAGCUUUCAAUGCGUUGAUGAUUUAAAAAGAAUCUGUUCUUCUUCUUUCUUUUUCUUUUUUUUUUCCUUGUGGGAUAUGAUUGUAGGAUGUGCAUUUCUAAUAUAUAAACUGUAAGCUGCAGCUAUCUUUGUUAUCUCCUUAAAAUCUCAGUAAAAUGAUUCCAAUGCAAUGGAUAGAAUGUGAUA